rnacentral:rRNA from 1 species
CGCCAGACUCCUACGGGAGGCAGCAGUGAGGAAUAUUGGUCAAUGGGCUUACGCCUGAACCAGCCAAGUCGCGUGAGGGAAGACUGCCCUAUGGGUUGUAAACCUCUUUUGCCGGGGAGCAGCGGUCCGGACGCGUCCGGACCGGGAGAGUACCCGGAGAAAAAGCAUCGGCUAACUCCGUGCCAGCAGCCGCGGUAAUACGGAGGAUGCGAGCGUUAUCCGGAUUUAUUGGGUUUAAAGGGUGCGCAGGCGGAAGAUCAAGUCAGCGGUAAAAUUGAGAGGCUCAACCUCUUCGAGCCGUUGAAACUGGUUUUCUUGAGUGAGCGAGAAGUAUGCGGAAUGCGUGGUGUAGCGGUGAAAUGCAUAGAUAUCACGCAGAACUCCGAUUGCGAAGGCAGCAUACCGGCGCUCAACUGACGCUCAUGCACGAAAGUGUGGGUAUCGAACAGGAUUAGAUACCCCAGUAUUG